CCUGCAGGUAAGAAACAGAUGUGGGGUGUCAGCUGUCAGGUCGGUGAGUGAAAUAAGUAAGUAAAAUUUAUUAAUGUAGCACUUUAUGACAAGAAUCUAUUACAAAGUGAUUUAACAUUGAUAUUAAAAACAGCACACAGAAACACAAUGCACAAGAACAUUAUCAAAAUAUUUGUUAAAUAGGUGUGUUUCUAACUCAUCAGAAAUUUACUGUAAUGUUUUUUGUCUGUUAGUGUCGUCUACUGUUUGUAACUUAAUCUCGGCUCCAUCCAGAAAAGCCCAAUGCCUAGGUGGAGUUACCAAGCUGCAUAUUACACCACCAGGAUCACAACAAAGAUUCUGAUCAUUCACAGCUGGGCUAAAAUAGAAGGCUCCCAGUGAUACUGAAUGAAGAGCCAUUAAAGAGCAAUAAGGCAGCAGAGCUAAAAGAGCCGAAGAUCUCACAAACACUGAACACUCCUCACUCACUUGGAGAACCAACUCUCAGGUUGAUGAUGCUGAUGAGCUUCAAAGGUUUUCCAGCUCUCUCGAUGACACGACACUCAUCCACCCGGUUCUCAAAAGAUGGAUGCUGGUAAUCUGGAACAAGUCGUCCAUGCUGAUAUAAAAGGACAAGUUCUUCAUCUUCCAGGUCAGUUCUGCUCCACUCUACAACUAUGAUGAUGUGGGCUUGAGCUCGA